AUAUCGGUAAGAAAUCUCCAAGAAGCGAAACCACAGAAAACUAGGUUUAGAAAUUCCAAUCGAAUCGGAGAACAAUAUGAAGAUCACUGUAAUGAUAGCUGAUGAACAGAUCAUUACAUCAGAAUUAGAUCGCGAAUCGGAGAUGAAUCCCUAUGGAGUACCUGAUCUUUGAUGUGAGUAACAGAGUGAUCUUGACUCAGGAGUGACCGGAAUAAGUUGCCGGACCGUUUAAGGGUGCGUCACCGGCCGAGAUCUGAAUUACGUCGGCGACAGGUGGAAGAGAAGAGAUGCUGAAUCGGUAAGCUGCUUAAACCAGUGACACUAGUGAGAUUGCAAAUUUUUUGCUGUCAUACUCAUUACUGAAAUCACUGAAAUGCUUUCUGCUUACAAGAGAAGCUUUUAUUUAUGAAUGCAUAGUUUUUAUGCUGUAGAUUUUGAUCUUCCAUCAAUGAAAUUCAGGGGCUGAUUACUUUUCUUCUUC